UGGGGAAUAUUGCACAAUGGGCGAAAGCCUGAUGCAGCAACGCCGCGUGAGGGACGACGGCCUCCGGGUUGUAAACCUCUUUUAGCAAGGAAGAAGCGAAAGUGACGGUACUUGCAGAAAAAGCGCCGGCUAACUACGUGCCAGCAGCCGCGGUAAUACGUAGGGCGCAAGCGUUAUCCGGAAUUAUUGGGCGUAAAGAGCUCGUAGGCGGUUUGUCGCGUCUGCUGUGAAAACCCGAGGCUCAACCUCGGGCCUGCAGUGGGUACGGGCAGACUAGAGUGCGGUAGGGGAGAUUGGAACUCCUGGUGUAGCGGUGGAAUGCGCAGAUAUCAGGAAGAACACCGAUGGCGAAGGCAGAUCUCUGGGCCGUAACUGACGCUGAGGAGCGAAAGGGUGGGGAGCAAACAGGCUUAGAUACCCUGGUAGUCCACCCCGUAAACGUUGGGAACUAGUUGUGGGGUCCAUUCCACGGAUUCCGUGACGCAGCUAACGCAUUAAGUUCCCCGCCUGGGGAGUACGGCCGCAAGGCUAAAACU
rnacentral:rRNA from 1 species